AUAUUAUUAGAGUAGUUACGCAUUCUAUACUUUAAUUAAAGUUGAAGUUGAAGAGAUUUUUUUGUUUUAAACGCGCUAAUAUUAGUAACUAGAGUCUGACACGCAAAACAUGAGCUAGACAAUUUUUAGACAUUCUUCAUAUGGCCACACCAAAAUAUAUGUCAAAUGUCAGUACAUGAAUUGUCAUUUGCAUAAAACGUGUUUACUUUUUUGCUGCGAAAUUAUUUUAAACCAUUAAAUAUGAAGACUCCUAUUAAGAGUGAGGCUAGAAAGCUAAUAUUCAAUAUGGUUAAUAAAUUUGAUGUGAAAAAUAAAGACAAUGAAAAGAUUUUCAAUGAAAAAGAACAAUGUUUGGUUACAAUCUUGGAAGCCAUUGAAUGGAAUAAUUGUAUAGAACACGUCAUAAAAA